rnacentral:rRNA from 1 species
AGUUGGUGGAGUGAUUUGUCUGGUUAAUUCCGUUAACGAACGAGACCCCUGCCUGCUAAAUAGCCUAGCAAAUGAGUUUUCAUUCGCCGGGGCUUCUUAGAGGGACGUGCAUUCUAUUAGAUGCAGGAAGAUAGGGGCAAUAACAGG